rfam:Oryza brachyantha chromosome 11, whole genome shotgun sequence.
AACAAGGUCAUUUUUUAGUUUUUAGAUACAAUGUUUUGACUCUUCGUUUUAUUUGAAAAUUUUUUGCGAUUAAUAUUUUUAUUGUUACUAGAUGAUAAAAUAUAAAUAGUACUUUAUGCGUGACUAAUUUUUUUAAGUUUUUGUGCAAAUUUUUCAAAUAAGACGGAUGGUCAAAGCAUUGGGCAUAGAAAUCAAAAAAUGACGUUAUU